GAAAUGCGAUAAGUAAUGUGAAUUGCAGAAUUCAGUGAAUCAUCGAAUCUUUGAACGCACAUUGCGCCCCUUGGUACUCCGAGGGGCAUGCCCGUUCGAGCGUCAUUAUAACCUCUCAAGCCUAGCUUGGUAUUGGGGCCUGCUGUUACCGGCAGCUCUUAAAAUCAGUGGCGGCGCCAUCUGGCUCUAAGCGUAGUAAUACUUCUCGCUACAGGGUCCCGGUGGAUGCUUGUCAUCAACCCCUAGAUUUCUAUGGUUGACCUCGGAUCGGGUAGGGAUACCCGCUGAACUUAA
rnacentral:misc_RNA from 1 species